rnacentral:rRNA from 1 species
UACGAAGGGGGCUAGCGUUGCUCGGAAUCACUGGGCGUAAAGCGCACGUAGGCGGAUUGUUAAGUCAGGGGUGAAAUCCUGGAGCUCAACUCCAGAACUGCCUUUGAUACUGGCGAUCUUGAGUCCGGGAGAGGUGAGUGGAACUGCGAGUGUAGAGGUGAAAUUCGUAGAUAUUCGCAAGAACACCAGUGGCGAAGGCGGCUCACUGGCCCGGUACUGACGCUGAGGAACGAAAGCUAGGGGAGCAAACAGG